CGGCGAGCGAACGGGGAGCAGCCCAGAGCCUGAAUCAGUGUGUGUGUUAGUGGAAGCGUCUGGAAAGGCGCGCGAUACAGGGUGACAGCCCCGUACACAAAAAUGCACAUGCUGUGAGCUCGAUGAGUAGGGCGGGACACGUGGUAUCCUGUCUGAAUAUGGGGGGACCAUCCUCCAAGGCUAAAUACUCCUGACUGACCGAUAGUGAACCAGUACCGUGAGGGAAAGGCGAAAAGAACCCCGGCGAGGGGAGUGAAAAAGAACCUGAAACCGUGUACGUACAAGCAGUGGGAGCACGCUUAGGCGUGUGACUGCGUACCUUUUGUAUAAUGGGUCAGCGACUUAUAUUCUGUAGCAAGGUUAACCGAAUAGGGGAGCCGAAGGGAAACCGAGUCUUAACUGGGCGUUAAGUUGCAGGGUAUAGACCCGAAACCCGGUGAUCUAGCCAUGGGCAGGUUGAAGGUUGGGUAACACUAACUGGAGGACCGAACCGACUAAUGUUGAAAAAUUAGCGGAUGACUUGUGGCUGGGGGUGAAAGGCCAAUCAAACCGGGAGAUAGCUGGUUCUCCCCGAAAGCUAUUUAGGUAGCGCCUCGUGAAUUCAUCUCCGGGGGUAGAGCACUGUUUCGGCAAGGGGGUCAUCCCGACUUACCAACCCGAUGCAAACUGCGAAUACCGGAGAAUGUUAUCACGGGAGACACACGGCGGGUGCUAACGUCCGUCGUGAAGAGGGAAACAACCCAGACCGCCAGCUAAGGUCCCAAAGUCAUGGUUAAGUGGGAAACGAUGUGGGAAGGCCCAGACAGCCAGGAUGUUGGCUUAGAAGCAGCCAUCAUUUAAAGAAAGCGUAAUAGCUCACUGGUCGAGUCGGCCUGCGCGGAAGAUGUAACGGGGCUAAACCAUGCACCGAAGCUGCGGCAGCGACACUAUGUGUUGUUGGGUAGGGGAGCGUUCUGUAAGCCUGUGAAGGUGUACUGUGAGGUAUGCUGGAGGUAUCAGAAGUGCGAAUGCUGACAUAAGUAACGAUAAAGCGGGUGAAAAGCCCGCUCGCCGGAAGACCAAGGGUUCCUGUCCAACGUUAAUCGGGGCAGGGUGAGUCGACCCCUAAGGCGAGGCCGAAAGGCGUAGUCGAUGGGAAACAGGUUAAUAUUCCUGUACUUGGUGUUACUGCGAAGGGGGGACGGAGAAGGCUAUGUUGGCCGGGCGACGGUUGUCCCGGUUUAAGCGUGUAGGCUGGUUUUCCAGGCAAAUCCGGAAAAUCAAGGCUGAGGCGUGAUGACGAGGCACUACGGUGCUGAAGCAACAAAUGCCCUGCUUCCAGGAAAAGCCUCUAAGCAUCAGGUAACAUCAAAUCGUACCCCAAACCGACACAGGUGGUCAGGUAGAGAAUACCAAGGCGCUUGAGAGAACUCGGGUGAAGGAACUAGGCAAAAUGGUGCCGUAACUUCGGGAGAA
rnacentral:rRNA from 1 species